rnacentral:misc_RNA from 1 species
UAAACAUUCUGCCUAAUACACAGUCGAAUAAUCUGAUCUUCCCUUGAAUCCUCAAUUCAAAAUCAGGCGAAAUCGGAUGAAUCUGUAGGUAAAAUCCGUCGAUUUUCGAAUCAAAUUGAACAAAAUUUUCAAUCAGAAAUAUGUAUAUAAGCGAUUACGUUUGAUAGCGAUCUGUUGAACCGAAAAAAAACGAGAGCGAUGAACAAGAAUGGUCGUAAUUAGUUGGAUUUUGG